UGAAUUAUACAUGAUUUAUGAAAUUAUAUUUUGAACAACAAGUGAUUUGAAAAUUUGAUAUUUUAUUGAAAUACUAUGGCUUAUUGAUUAUGCAUAUAUUCAGUGAAAUUAUGAUAUCUUAUAUGUUAUGCUGUAAAAGUACUUUGAUAUGGAUCAGAUUUGUGCUCUUAACCUAACUAUAUUUCAAUGAGCCCCAUCAAUGGAUAUUAUAUUUUGGUAAUCGGUCGGCUCCACCAAUGAAGAUUAUAUGUUGGUAAUCAAUGGACCCCGCAAAUGGGGAUUAUACGUUGGUACUCAGUGGAUCUUGUCAAUGGAGGUUGUGCGCUGGUAUUCAGUGGAUCCUGCUAAUGAGAAUUAUAUAUUGGCUAUAAUUAAAGGCUAUUGAGUUUUAUAUGUUUUUGAUUCAAAUCGAAUUUAUGAUUGUGCAUGCAUAUGAGUAUUAAAAUUAUUUGACUUAUUUAAGUAAGCAUAGAAUAUAUUCCUAUAUAUAUUUAUGGCAUUAUUUUUGAACAUUAUAUCUAUGAUAAUAUCUGAAAUAUCUAGUUGAGAUAUCGAUUUGUUUGUUCAGUGUUCUACAAGAAGUGAUGAACUGUCUUCUCAAGAUAUUUCAUAAUUAUUUUGAAAGCAAGUGUCAGUCUUUGAAUUAUACAUGAUUUAUGAAAUUAUAUUUUGAACAACAAGUGAUUUGAAAAUUUAAUAUUUUAUUGAAAUACUAUGGUUUAUUGAUUAUGCAUAUGUUCAAUAGAAUUAUGAUAUCUUAUAUGUUAUGCUGUAAAAGUACUUUGAUAUGGAUCGGAUUUGUGCUCUCAGUCUAACUAUGUUUCAGUAGGCCCCAUCAAUGGACAUUAUGUAUUGAUAAUCGAUGGGCUCCACUAAUGGGGAUAUACAUUGGUAAUCAGUAGGCCCCGCAAAUGGAGAUUAUACGUUGGUACUCAAUGAAUUCUGUCAAUGGGGAUUGUGCAUUGACAUUCGGUGGAUCCUGCCAAUGAGAGCUAUAUAUUGGUCAUAAUUA
rnacentral:lncRNA from 1 species